AACUAUUUGAAACCAAUCGAAGAAAUGUAUCUUUCCAUCACUGAGGAAGAGAAAAUUCUGGCACAAUUUCAGGGUAGAUACAGAAGCUUUAUGUCUCUUUAUUCAAAGUUACUGUAAUUGUGCUGGCACCAUUCCCAGAGCUGAGCUAAGGCUUAUGUGAAUUCAUAAACUGCAAUCAGAAAGGAAAGCUUUGUCAGAAAACAUUUGUCAUUUUGUACAAAGCUGUAUCUUUUCAUUCUGAACUAGUGUCUUGGUUUGAAAAGACAGGAGUCUGUGAAGGAAGGCAAGGGCCUCCCGUGAAAUGGAAAAGGAAAAAGGAAACAAAAGCUUCUUCUUAUCUGAAAAAAAUACUGAGAGCCAGAAAAGUAUACUUAUGCUCCCUUGUUUAUAUAAUUCUUGACUCCAGAUGAAUAAAUGGUAACUUGA